rnacentral:rRNA from 1 species
AGUGAACGCUGGCGGUAGGCCUAACACAUGCAAGUCGAACGGCAGCACAGUAAGAGCUUGCUCUUACGGGUGGCGAGUGGCGGACGGGCGAGGAAUACAUCGGAAUCUACUUUUUCGUGGGGGAUAACGUAGGGAAACUUACGCUAAUAUCGCAUACGACCUACGGGUGAAAGCAGGGGAUCUUCGGACCUUGCGCGAUUGAAUGAGCCGAUGUCGGAUUAGCUAGUUGGCGGGGUAAAGGCCCACCAAGGCGACGAUCCGUAGCUGGUCUGAGAGGAUGAUCCGCCACACUUGAACUGAGACACGGUCCCGACUCCUACGGGAGGCAGCAGUGGGGAAUAUUGGACAAUGGGCGCAAGCCUGAUCCAGCCAUACCGCGUGGGUGAAGAAGGCCUUCGGGUUGUAAAGCCCUUUUGUUGGGAAAGAAAAGCAGCAGGUUAAUACCCCGCUGUUCUGACGGUACCCAAAGAAUAAGCACCGGCUAACUUCGUG